UACGUAGGGGGCUAGCGUUGUCCGGAUUGACUGGGCGUAAAGCGCACGCAGGCGGUCGCGCGCGUGGGGUGUGAAAUCUGGCCGCUUAACGGCCAGGCGCCAUCCCAUACGGCGCGACUCGAGCCAUGCAGAGGGCGGUGGAAUUGCCGGUGUAGUGGUGAAAUGCGUAGAUAUCGGGAGGAACACCAGUGGCGAAGGCGACUACCUGGCCUGUUCUUGACGCUGAGGCGCGAAAGCUAGGGGAGCAAACGGG
rnacentral:rRNA from 1 species